AAGAAAGUAAUUAAGAGCGUAUGGGGGAUGCCUUGGCUCUCAUAGACGAUGAAGGACGUGAUAAGCUGCGAUAAGCUUCGGGUAGGAGCAAAUAUCCUUUGAUCCGGAGAUUUCCGAAUGGGGAAACCCAAUACCUUGAAGAGGUAUUAUUCCGACUUGUCGGAAGGACAACCCAGUGAACUGAAACAUCUAAGUAACUGGAGGAAAAUAAAACAAUAGUGAUUUCCUGAGUAGUGGCGAGCGAAAGGGAAACAGCCCAAACCGUUAUUGUUACGGCAAUAACGGGGUUGUAGGACUGUGAUAUGGACUGUAAAUUCAAAGUUGAAUCUUCUGGAAAGUUGAACCAAAGAAGGUGAUAGUCCUGUAAACGAAUUGAAUUUACUACCUAACAGUAUCCUGAGUACUGCGGGACCGGAGAAAUCCUGUAGGAAUCUGCCAGCACCAUCUGGUAAGGCUAAAUACUAAUGAGAGACCGAUAGCGAACUAGUACUGUGAAGGAAAGGUGAAAAGCACUUCGAACAGAAGAGUGAAAUAGACCCUGAAACCAUACGCUUACAAGCAGUAGGAGGUGAAUAUUUAGUGGCUUGCCAUUAAAUAAGUAACUGACUGCGUGCCUUUUGCAUAAUGAGCCUACGAGUUACUCCUCUCUAGCAAGGUUAAGUUCAUCUAUGAACGUAGCCGUAGCGAAAGCGAGUCUGAACAGGGCGUUCAGUUAGAGGGGGUAGACGCGAAACUUUGUGAUCUACCCAUGGCCAGGUUGAAGCCCCGAUAACACGGGGUGGAGGACCGAACUAGUAAACGUUGAAAAGUUUUUGGAUGAGCUGUGGGUAGGGGUGAAAGGCUAAUCAAACUGAGAGAUAGCUCGUACUCCCCGAAAUGUUUUUAGGAACAGCCUCGAUUUUAGUGUCAUAGAGGUAGAGCUACUGAUAGGACUAGGGGGCUUCGCAGCCUACCAAAUCCUGACAAACUCCGAAUGCUAUGACAUAUAAUCGGGAGUGAGGGUAUGGGUGCUAACGUCCAUAUCCGAGAGGAAAAGAAUCCGGACCAUCAGCUAAGGUCCCUAAAUAUAUGCUAAGUUGAACUAACGAAGUCUGAUUGCUUAGACAGCUAGGAUGUUGGCUUGGAAGCAGCCAUUCAUUUAAAGAGUGCGUAACAGCUCACUAGUCGAGCGAUCGGGCGCGGAUAAUAAACGGGCAUAAAGCAUAUUACCGAAGCUGUGGUAUUUGUAGUAAUACAAAUAGGUAGGGGAGCAUUCCAGUUGCAGCGAAGGAGCAUCGUAAGAUGUGCUGGAGCGACUGGAAAAGCAAAUGUAGGCAUAAGUAACGAUAAUGAGGGCGGGAAACCCUCACACCGAAAGACUAAGGUUUCCUGAUCAUCGAUAAUCGGAUCAGGGUUAGUCGGGUCCUAAGGUAUAUCCGAAAGGAGAAGCCGAUGGCUAACAGGUCAAUAUUCCUGUACUAGCAUAUAUUGCGAUGUGGUGACGAAGUAGUGACAAGUCUGUGUACUGACGGAAUAGUACAUUGAAGGGUGUAGGUAUAUUUUUGGCAGGUAAAUCCACCAGAGAUGCCGAACCUGAUAGUACCGCGAGUCUUCGGACAAGCGGAUAAUGACUGUAAUCAAACUUCCAAGAAAACCCGCUAAGCUUCAGAUAUAUGCUACCCGUACCGCAAACCGACACAGGUAGUCGAGGAUAGUAUCCAAAGGUGCUCGAGUGAUCCAUGGCUAAGGAACUAGGCAAAUUAGUCCUGUAACUUCGGAAUAAAGGACGCUCUGAGUAAUCAGAGCCGCAGAGAAAUGGCCCAGGCGACUGUUUAGCAAAAACACAUGGCUUUGCAAAAUCGAAAGAUGAAGUAUAAGGCCUGACACCUGCCCGGUGCUGGAAGGUUAAGAGGAGAGGUUAGCAGCAAUGCGAAGCUUUGAAUUGAAGCCCCAGUAAACGGCGGCCGUAACUAUAACGGUCCUAAGGUAGCGAAAUUCCUUGUCGGGUAAGUUCCGACCUGCACGAAUGGUGUAACGAUCUGGGCACUGUCUCAGCCAUGAGCU
rnacentral:rRNA from 1 species